UGGGGAAUCUUGCGCAAUGGGCGAAAGCCUGACGCAGCGACGCCGCGUGUGGGAUGAAGGUCUUCGGAUUGUAAACCACUGUCGGGAGGGACGAAGCUCUGACGGUACCUCCAAAGGAAGCACCGGCUAACUCUGUGCCAGCAGCCGCGGUAAUACAGAGGGUGCGAGCGUUGUCCGGAAUCACUGGGCGUAAAGGGCGCGUAGGCGGCUGUGUAAGUCUGGCGUGAAAGCCCAGGGCUCAGCCCUGGAAGGGCGCUAGAAACUGCGCGGCUAGAGUGCCGGAGGGGAGAGUGGAAUUCCUGGUGUAGCGGUGAAAUGCGUAGAUAUCAGGAGGAAUACCGGUGGCGAAAGCGACUCUCUGGACGGCAACUGACGCUGAGGCACGAAAGCGUGGGGAGCAAACAGGAUUAGAUACCCAUGUCCCUGAGCGGGCUGGCAAGGCGCAU
rnacentral:rRNA from 1 species